UCAAACUUGGUCAUUUAGAGGAAGUAAAAGUCGUAACAAGGUUUCCGUAGGUGAACCUGCGGAAGGAUCAUUAUUGAAUAGCGCCCUGUUGUUGCUGGUGAGACUUGUCUCAUAUCGUGCACGCAGGUUCUUCAUACACACACCUGUGAACUCUUGUGGACGGAAGGGAUUACCUGGAACUCCAUUUUUACUACACACACAUUGAUUACUAUUGUAUCGUUGGUUUAUAAAAUACAACUUUCAACAACGGAUCUCUUGGCUCUCGCAUCGAUGAAGAACGCAGC
rnacentral:misc_RNA from 1 species